UUGAAUGUAUCUGUGUCCUUGAGAUUAAAGGACAACUUGCACAAAUCAUUGAGACAUUUCCUUCCACCAUGGAUGUUCCAAAUAAACUCACAUUGUCAGGCUUGGAAGCAAGUGCCCCUACAUGCUGAAGCCUCAAUAUACAGUUCCAUGCAUUGAUUCUACCAGGGACAAAUGAAUCCUAGAUUCUCUUUCAUUCCUUUGCCUCCCUCUUGCCCUCCAUCACUCCCUCCCUUCUUCCUCUUCUUCUGGUUCUGGUUCUGGUUCUUCUUCUUCUUCUUCUUCUUCUUCUUCUUCUUCUUCUUCUUCUUCCUCUAUCUCUCUUUCAUUGUUUGUGUCAACAUUGUGUCUAAAGUGUUGUAUUACUUUAUUAAAAAUAAUUUGGUCCCUGAGAGUUGUGACACAUUCCUUUAAUGCCAGCACUCAGAAGGCAGAGUCAGGAAUAUCUCAGGGAGUUUGAGGGCAGCCUGGUCUACAGAGAGAGAGUUCCAGGAAUGCCAGGGAUACAGAGAAAAACCCUUUCUGGAAAAAAAAAUUGAGACAGCAUCUCACUAGAGCACACUAUGUAGGCCAAGUGAUAAAAGCAAAGCAUUCAGACAAAAUAAAACAAUACAAAAAGUGCACACAAAAAACACACACUCAUGGAAUCUGUUCUGUGUUGGCCAGCUAUUCCUGUACAUGAGGCCUGCCCUAGAAUGUGGUUGAUACUUCUAGUAACACUGCAUUGGAGAAAACUGAUUUUCCCUUUUUUAGAAGUUACUUGUUACAGUAAUUGCAGGGCUAACGGUGGAAUUUUUGUCCACUUCCUUUUUCAGAGCUGGUAUUUUAAUUUGGUUUGAACCUGUGCAGGUCUUGUGCAUGCUGUCAUAGUCUCUGUGAGUUCCCAUGUGCAUCAGUCCUGUUGUGUUUGGAAGAUGCUCUUUUAUUGGAGUCAUCUACUACCUCUGGCUCUUACAAUGUUUCCACCUCCUCUUCUGCAUAUUCCCUGAGCAGGGUUUGACAAGGAAAAUCCAUGUAGUGCAACUUCCUUAAACAUGUGUGAGCUUAAGCAGAUUCCAGCAACCCACCUGAUGUCACUCUUGCUCUUGCCCAAUCUCACCGAUGAUAUCUAUCUUGAUUGAUUAACUCUUGUGUAAAUUUAUGGCUGUCCUCAUAUCUGAAAAUCCAUGCCCCUAAAGCCAAGUCAGUUAAAUAUGAUUUUUAUGUCAGCUACGUAGUAGGCGGGAUUCCAUGAGUUUCCUUGGAAGCCAUCACACACAGUCAUUCUUCACUGAUUCUCUUUAAUCCUUAAUUGAGGACAAACUUUCUUUUCCUUUCUAGUGUAUGCAAUUUUGUUUUGUUGUGCCUUGUGAUUUUCUAAAACUUUGUAUUUCUAAUGUAUUAACAGAGUUGUGCAAUAUAGCAGUAAUCUUUCUAGACACCAAUAUUCACUAGUAUGUCUUCUGUGGAACCAUGGAGAGGUUGUUUUCUUGUGAUAUCUGAGGAGGGUCUCAUGGAAGGUAUAUCUGUGCCCUCAGUCUGUAUGGGAGAAGGCCCUAGAUAAGGGGCUCCUCAUGAAUUCAAGUCUACAUACUAUGUUCAGAGAAGGUAAGUCCUUCUGACAUUGAUCAGAAAGUGUUUGAUGAUCACAACCUGGAAGAAGUCACGUGGACACAGACAUGACAGACCUGACCCUGCUCAGUGGGGUCUGUAGGUGACACUGAAGAGUCUGGAGACUUUCAGCUGACAACACAAACAUCGGUCUCUGUGUCUGCUCAGGACUCAACAGGCCCAGCAGUGGGGACACUGUGAUCCCUUGGGAAGCCUCAGGCAGGAAAUGACACCCAGGUUUUUGAUGGCACAGACACCUGAGAAGGGAUUUGAAUGACUAAGAAAAAUUUGCAUGAAGGACCCUGACAGUUCUCUGAGAAUUCUUAAAGGAUUAGAGAGACCUGCACCAUGUCCUUCUCAGCAGAGCUCAGUGGUGUCUGCACCAUGGCCUGGACUCUUCUCCUCUUCUUCCUCCUUCAUUGUACAGGGUCUUUCUCCCAGCUUACGCUGACUCAGUCACCCUCAUCUUCUGCCUCCCUGGGAGCCUCAGUCAAACUCACCUGCACCUUGAGUAGUCAGCACAGCAGCUACUACAUUGAAUGGUACCAGCAACAUCCAGACAAGGCUCCUAAGUAUGUGAAGCAACUUAAGAGUGAUGGAAGCCACAGCAAGGGGGAUGGGAUCCCUGACCGCUUCUCUGGCUCCAGCUCUGGGGCUGAUCGCUACUUAAGCAUCUCCAACAUCCAGCCAGAAGAUGAAGUUGACUACAUCUGUGGUGCUUGAAAUGACCACAGAAGUAACCAUGUAUAGAAACAAACAAAUCAAACAACCCCACCAAAAUAUCUUCAAAAGGCUCCUAUUUUGCAAGGAUCUUGACUCCAUUCUUCUGAACAAGAAUUUCAAGGAAAUGACCUGCAGAAUUAGAGUUUCCUGAAGAAACCUCUGAAGCCAAACUCAUGGGUCAGAAUCCCACAGCAGCAGGUUCCACAAUCUGCUAGGAGACUCCAUGAGUUAACCAACCUUUCUGAGGCCUUACUUAGAAUGGCACAACUUUUUCUCUUUCUUGCUUUUUGGUUCUUUCUUUCUGAUGGUGACCAGACCCUAAAGCCUGCUUUUUCUGAUGCUUUGGGCUUCCUCACUCUCCUCCUAACACUCCCCUCCUCUCAUAUGGCUGAUUGUGUGCUGUAUUAGUUACUUUUCUGUUGCUUUGAUAAAACACAAUGACCAAAGGCAUCUCAUAGAAGGAUGAGUGUUUCAUGGGCUCAUGUAAGUAUCCAUGAUCCUGGGGACGUGGCAGGCGUGGCAACAGAAGAAGCCAGUGGCUUGAAUAUCAAGCAGAAAAAUGGUCAUUGUACAAGGCUUGGAAAUUGCCAACCCCAGUGACUACCUCCUCCAGCAAAAUCACACCUCCUACCUUAUGGAGACAGCACCACUCACUUUGGACCAAGUGUCAAAUGACAGAACCUGUGGGAACAUUCUCACUCAAAUCACCACAUCCACCAUGCAACUGAUCGCCAUGUUGGCUUAAGUCAAAUGCAUGACUUCUUUUCUUUCCCACCUUCUUUCUCGUCUUCAGGGAAGCUGCCAAAAUCUACAGCUUCCUUUCUCUGUGUUGUUAUUUUAAGCUCUAAUAAAAUUGUCUACAAGGUUAAAAAUAACCACUGAAUGAGGGAGGGGAGAAUGGAAGAAACGAGGACAGAGAGAGCCAGAUUGAAAGAGAAGAGAAGGGGAGAAAAGGGGAAGCGGAGAGGGAGAGACAGACAGACAGACAGAUGAACUGAUUCUACUGAUAUUUAAAAUUACUUUUGAAAUAUGUGUGUUAAUUGUGGUCAUUGAGUUGUUGAUUUUUGGUGUCAUUUGGGUUCAGUGUAUUUUGUGUUUUAAUAAUUAUGUCUUCUACCACAGUCUCUAUGCUGUCUUAUUUCUGUACCAAGCCCAAAACAAUGUUUCCUGUAUUUCCUUAUGUUUGUUUUCUUGGUUAUGAUUUUUAUGCUGUUUUCAUCAUGAAAAAUACAGUCAUUGUACAUAG